AACGCCCACUAUAACAUACAGCAGUGAACAAUGAGUGGCCGUGGUCUUAUCCUGGGCAAUUCCCCCCACAGGCUCAAUGGCAGCAGGGCGGUGGUGGUGUUGGUGGUAUGGGUCAACAGCAGCAAUACAUGAUGGGGCCAGGAGGUCCGAUGCAAAUGGGCAGAGUUCAAGGGAUUGCCCCUGGCCUGCCUCAAGGGAUGGGCGUGGCUCAAGGAAUGCAGGGAAUGGGUGUGGCUCAACCUGGAUAUCCUGGAAUGCCGUAUCAACCAGUUAAUUCAAUGACAGGUACAGUCCACAUGAAUAGUUAUAGAUACAUGUGUGUCCAGUUAUGAUAAUUGUAAUUCAUACAGUCUAGUAGUGUGUACAUGUACUUGUAGUAUCCUGCCCUUUGUUAGCUGUAGUGUAGAUGCAUUACUGAUAUUGUGUGAACCUAAUGUGUUUUUAUUUAAGUUAGACUACAUUUAUUAGAGUCAAAA
rnacentral:lncRNA from 1 species